rnacentral:rRNA from 1 species
UACGUAGGGUGCAAGCGUUGUCCGGAAUUAUUGGGCGUAAAGAGCUCGUAGGCGGUCUGUCGCGUCGGCUGUGAAAACCCGGAGCUCAACUCCGGGCCUGCAGUCGAUACGGGCAAACUGGAGUGUUGCAGGGGAGACUGGAAUUCCUGGUGUAGCGGUGAAAUGCGUAGAGAUCAGGAAGAACAUCGGUGGCGAAGGCGCUCUGCUGGACCAUAACUGACACUCAGGGACGAAAGCUAGGGGAGCGAAUGGG